UAUAGAGCGCUCACCAAUCAAGCACCAACGUUGCAAACAACAACCAUCGUGGCUUUGCACGUUGUUCCACCUGCAGUGGAGGAGGGGGCGGUGGUGAGGUGUGCAUUAUGACUUCAUGCCAGGCCUUGCCAUGAACCCAUACACCGAGGAGGAAGCGGCGGGGAGGGGGUCAUCGAUUGCGCCAACGAAGAAGGAGCGAUGAAGGAGGAAGGCGUGAGUAAUAUGCCACGGCAGGCUAAGUCAAGGAGGGCCUGCCUAUUCCUCGGAAUGUUUGAUCAUUUCCAUUAGCCUGUGGCACCAGUGGGAGGAUAACGAUCCAGAGAAACACCCGCACCAGUGGGAGGAUAACGAUCCAGAGAAACGCCCGCACCAGUGGGAGGAUAACGCACAGGUGGAUUCCAUCGCUAUACUGCGAUUUCCGGGCGACCCUGACGUGUGCCUGCGAAAGUCGAAUCGCUUAACAGCUAAAAAGCCGACGCCUCCGUACACCCACGCAGCACACAGUAUGUGAAGAGAGGCUAGGCAGUGCUUGGAAGAGUUGACGACCUUGCAGAGACGGCCGCAUAAACCAUCACGUGCACUCCGGUCAUCCUCGCAGCAGCGGCGUUUGGCUAGCCAUCGAACAA